AGGUGGGAGGCUUAGAAGUGUGGACGCCAGUCUGCAUGGAGCCGACCUUGAAAUACCACCCUUUAAUGUUUGAUGUUCUAACGUUGACCCGUAAUCCGGGUUGCGGACAGUGUCUGGUGGGUAGUUUGACUGGGGCGGUCUCCUCCUAAAGAGUAACGGAGGAGCACGAAGGUUGGCUAAUCCUGGUCGGACAUCAGGAGGUUAGUGCAAUGGCAUAAGCCAGCUUGACUGCGAGCGUGACGGCGCGAGCAGGUGCGAAAGCAGGUCAUAGUGAUCCGGUGGUUCUGAAUGGAAGGGCCAUCGCUCAACGGAUAAAAGGUACUCCGGGGAUAACAGGCUGAUACCGCCCAAGAGUUCAUAUCGACGGCGGUGUUUGGCACCUCGAUGUCGGCUCAUCACAUCCUGGGGCUGAAGUAGGUCCCAAGGGUAUGGCUGUUCGCCAUUUAAAGUGGUACGCGAGCUGGGUUUAGAACGUCGUGAGACAGUUCGGUCCCUAUCUGCCGUGGGCGCUGGAGAACUGAGGGGGGCUGCUCCUAGUACGAGAGGACCGGAGUGGACGCAUCACUGGUGUUCGGGUUGUCAUGCCAAUGGCACUGCCCGGUAGCUAAAUGCGGAAGAGAUAAGUGCUGAAAGCAUCUAAGCACGAAACUUGCCCCGAGAUGAGUUCUCCCUGACUCCUUGAGAGUCCUGAAG
rnacentral:rRNA from 1 species